GGUGACCUGCGGAAGGAUCAUUACGAAAUUCGGCGCGCUCCGGCGCUGCCUUAUUCACCCACCCUUUGUCUACGUGUACCUCCAUAGCUUCCUCGGCGGGCUCGCCCGCCGCCAGGAACCCCCGAAACCCCUUGCAUUAUACACGAAAACUUCUGAUAACAAACCUAAAUUAUCACAACUUUCAACAAUGGAUCUCUUGGUUCUGGCAUCGAUGAAGAACGCAGCGAAAUGCGAUAAGUAGUGUGAAUUGCAGAAUUCAGUGAAUCAUCGAAUCUUUGAACGCACAUUGCGGCCAUAGGUAUUCCUUUGGCCAUGCCUGUUCGAGCGUCAUUUACACCCUCAAGCCUAGCUUGGUGUUGGGCGUCUGUCCCGCCGUUUUCGCGCGCGGACUCGCCUCAAAGUCAUUGGCGGCGGUCGUGCCGGCCCCUCGCGCAGCACAUUUGCGCUUCUCGGAGGCCCGGCGGACCCGCGCUCCAGCGAAGACCUUUCACGACUUGACCUCGGAUCAGGUAGGGAUACCCGCUGAACUUAAGCAUAUCAAUAAGCGGAGGAAAAGAAACCAACAGGGAUUGCCCUAGUAACGGCGAG
rnacentral:rRNA from 1 species